rnacentral:rRNA from 1 species
GUAGGGUGCAAGCGUUAAUCGGAAUUACUGGGCGUAAAGCGUGCGCAGGCGGUUCUGUAAGAUAGAUGUNAAAUCCCCGGGCUCAACCUGGGAAUUGCAUAUAUNACUGCAGGACUUGAGUUUGUCAAAGGAGGGUGGAAUUCCACGUGUANCAUUGAAAUGCGUAAAUNUNUGGAAAAACACCGAUGGCNAAGGCAGCCNUCUGGGACAUGACUGACGCUCAUGCNCGAAANCGUGGGGAGCAAACAGGAUUANAUACCCUGGUANUCCACNCCCUAAACNAUGUCUACUAGUUGUUGNGGAUGAUAGUCCUUGGUAACGCAACUNACGCGUGAAGUAUACCGCCUGGGGAGU